rnacentral:rRNA from 1 species
GCCUACAUGAAGUCGGAAUCGCUAGUAAUCGCGGAUCAGCACGCCGCGGUGAAUACGUUCCCGGGCCUUGUACACACCGCCCGUCACACCACGAGAGUUUGUAACACCCGAAGUCGGUGAGGUAACCAUUUAGGAGCCAGCCGCCUAAGGUGGGAUAGAUGAUUGGGGUGAAGUCGUAACAAGGUAGCCGUAUCGGAAGGUGCGGCUGGAUCACCUCCUUU